CCAGUGCCCUACUUUUUCUCAGUCCCUGCCUGGCAGAUACAUAGGAAGACACGUUUUCCCAUCUUCCCAAGAAUUUUGGGAGAAUGAAUGGCGAUUUUCGACAGAGUAGUGUGAGGCAAUCUGGCCUUUCAUCAAAAAAAAAAAUAAUGGACAAAAGAAACAAGUCUGGGGAAUGUGGAGUAGGUUCUGUGAAUUGUAUUCUGAGCUUUCUGUCAGAUGGAGUAUAGGUUUAGGCUGAUAUUUCUAACAAUGGGCCACAACAACUGGACCAUCUGCAACGGAAUUAAAUUUCCAUGAAGAUCACAAUUCCUGAGAGUCAAAGAUAUCAGAACAUUAGUUUUCCCAUCCCCAAGGGAGGAUAUGCUUCCACCCUAGUCCUGCGUGCUAUGGAGAAAGAAAAUAACGAACCACAGUUGCACUUGAAGUUUACCCACCAACAAGGAGAGAGCCUGAUAACACUGAUACUGUGGACUACUUUAAUACAGCCUAAGUCCGGGCUCUGCAUGGUGCUCAUUGACAUUUUGACGUCGGAACCACGACAGAAAUCAGCAAAAGGUUCAUUUAUUACAUGCUGUUGUUACUAAGGUGAGGCAAAGCCUUGCCCCAUAUAGAGACAGGUAGGAUGUGAUGGCAGUACAUAAACUCGCUUUUCCCUGUCCUGUGUGUCUUUGCCUGCAGAGGUCUCUCCUGCAGGAAAUACUUUCACAUGCUUCUUUAAAAGCACCUGUUCCUCACAUCUAGAUCAGCUGUGAAAAGAGGCUUCUCCAAGUCAGUCUGAGUGCUCCCACUACCAACUCAGAGCUGCAACACCAUAGGAUCCUCCAGCCACAAUGAAGGGUAGGUCCCUUUGAGGAGUUAGACGAAAGUGCCCGUUCUCAGAAGUGAUUUAGAACAGAAGGUUGAGAAGUGAGAGUCAACACCCAAGUGCUUCUUCCUGGAGAAAGCAACCAGAUCUCCCUGUUAAACAGUGUAGUCUAUCACAGGACCCA